CACGCGGCGGCUCAAGAGGAGCGCUGCAUUUUGGGACUUGUAGUCUCCGCAGCCUUCAUCCAGCUGCCGCCGUGAGUCGCACAACCCGGCCUCGGCAGGUGCAGGCGGCCCGCCCGCCGCGGGGGGAACGCAGCAAGAACUCCUGGACAUGUCUAAGACGAAGCCUCCCGAAAACAGGGACGGGACCGGACCAGCCCAGCCUCUUCCCUCCCCGCUCCGGGGGCACAGAACACCCCAGACUCACCCGCCACUUGAGUCACCAGCUCUGACGCUCCGCAGGAAAAAAGGAAAGAACAUCCCCCAGAGACUGUUAUAUAGCAGCUGCCUAAACCAGAGCGAGGCCGACUCCUCCCCUACCCGCCCAUUGGGCAGAGCGCGCCAGGGCGGAGUUUUGUGCGGGGGAGUUUGAGGGCCGAUUAUCUCAUCGUGCAGCCGAGGCCACGCCCCUCGCUGCUGGAGCGCGCGUCGUAGCAGCGCGAGGAUUCAGAGCCGAGGAAGCGGCGCGCGCAGGGUGGGGUUCUAGUGGUUAGCUCCCCCAGAGCUUAGGCCAUGGCACUGCGUUGACAGACUGUGGUUCUGUCUCCGGCCCCAGAGAAGAGUGCUGUGAUCUUCCAAAGCGUGUCCUUCCCACCUGCAGACGUUGGGCUAAUAAAAGUUAUGACCCCUGACCUUCCCCAGCUUGUGGCUCUCAGAGUGCAUGAGAAAAAUUUGCAUGAAAAAAAUUUCUUAUUAAACAGAAUCUAUUUGUGCAUUGUCUAAUUAGUGCCAGAAUGGUGUUUGUUAGGGUUGUGGCAGCGUUUUCAGCUGUAGCAGCCUAAGUGAGGAAAGAAGAUGAAGUUUUUCUCAACUACUACAUGGUCAAACUGUUGUGAUUUUUUUAUAAUCUGAAAAAAGGGACAGUACAUGACCUGAAAUGCUCAGAAGACACAGGGAGAAGGUGAACAUGGGCUGUGUUGGAAUCUGAGGUAACAGUGCAGCCUCCUGUAGCAUAGUUAAGAGGGUGCUAUGAAAAGACACAAUGUGAAUGGAAAUAGGCUUAAGAUGUAUCUUCAGUAAUUUCCUUGCUGGUUCUUGCAUAUUUUUCAAAGUAGAUGUUUGCUCCUGUGGUUACACCCACGUGGUAUUUAGCCUGCACAUCUUGAAGGGACUAUUCAAGUUAAAAGGCUUAACACUUAACUCUUAAUGGACCAUGGAAGAUGCCUAUCUACACUUCUCUUGGGAGGUAGGCCAGUCCUCGCUUACAGACAGCCCCCCCAACCUGAAGCAAAUACUCAUCAGCAACUACACACCACAGAACAAAAACACUAACCUAGGAACCAAUCCCUGGAACAAACCCCGUUGCCAAC